UGGGUAGUAUCGAAAGAGAAUUACACCGAUAUUUUUAGCAUUAAGAAUUAUAAUACAACUCAUAUCUAUAUGAAUGAGAUUGAAGU
rfam:Clostridium sp. Maddingley MBC34-26 contig_53_2, whole genome shotgun sequence.